UACGAAGGGUGCAAGCGUUACUCGGAAUUACUGGGCGUAAAGCGCACGUAGGCGGCUUUGUAAGUUAGAGGUGAAAGCCCGGGGCUCAACCCCGGAAUUGCCUUUAAGACUGCAUCGCUUGAAUCCGGGAGAGGUGAGUGGAAUUCCGAGUGUAGAGGUGAAAUUCGUAGAUAUUCGGAAGAACACCAGUGGCGAAGGCGGCUCACUGGACCGGCAUUGACGCUGAGGUGCGAAAGCGUGGGGAGCAAACAGG
rnacentral:rRNA from 1 species